UCUUUUUUAUCGUCUGACUAAUAUUGGAUAAUACUUGGUUAACCAGGCUUUGUUUUUGUUUAAGUGAUCAAAUCUAAUUUUUAUUAGUAAAUCUGAGUGUUUUUAAUUCAAUUUAUCUUCUGAAUAAUGUCUACUUAACAUGGAAGGGAUUCAUUCAACAAGUCUCUCAUUUUAAAUACAAGUGUUCAGGUUAAGCCCGCUGUUGAGUGAGAAUUACUGUUUGUCUCUAUUAAAUGUAUGGUCUCAAUCAAACUGAAGGGUCAAAUUAUCUUUACGUGAACUGUACAUGAAAAAGGGAUCAUCCAUUGGACUUUAGAGUAAUUAGAAAUUGAACUUACCAUAUCGAGAUCACUGAUUUCACUGAUGCUUCGUAUUAGUAUGUUGACAUUAACAUAACAAGGUCCAUCUUGUCCAAAAAUCGAGAUGAUAAGAUAAAAAAGAAUCACAUCUUCAAUUUGAUUGUAAUAAACAGAUGAUGGAAAUGGGUUUUCUCAAAUUAGACAUCAUAAUCGCCUGAAAAUAACAGCCAUUAUCAACAUGCUCAUCCUGUAAUAAUGCAAAUUUGAUUGAUUCAUUCCAUUAUCAUCAACUGUAAUGAUCAAUUCUCAAUACACUUUCAUUAUCUUGUUAAAUUCAUCAUUUAAUGGAGUACAAGUAGGAGAAGAAAUACGUUUCUCACCAAGUCACGCAAAGUACAAUCUGAUAUUGAGCUUGAAGCUGUUCAAUAUGCUUCUUAAAACAUUGCUUUUCUCAAGUUUCUAAAGUACACUUCGCAAACUCUCUCAGCGCAUAAUUUGCAUACAUUGAUCUAGAAAUGAAAAUUCAUGGUUUAAAUUAUGACUAUUUUAAGCAAAAACUCUUGUUUAUUUGACAAAUUGGAUGAACUGUAUUUUCGCUUUGAUUGAAACUGCUGUGAACAAGACAAUGCUUACCCUGUUGAGUUAACGAGUUAUCAUCAAUUUUCUUUUCCUUUUCUAAUAAUAAUUAGCUAAAAGGCGGAAUCUCUAUGAAUAGAUGUUUGAAGAUUUCGUAUCGUUUCUUUGGUAACGUUGCAUUACAAGGAUUAUUGUAUAAAUAUUGGACAAUAGUACAGAUGAUUAUGACAUUAUAUGACAUCAUCUUUUGCUAGUUAAAUAUGAUAAAUAUUGUUGCUGCCCAAGGCAAUUUCAUUCAAAUAUCUAUUCACUUUUUUAAAGUAUUAUAACAGUUAUUUUAUCUGAAUUCACUUUCCAUUACUUAUUUUUCAGUGCAUAAUGUCAUACAGUUGAAGCAGUUUUUAUAACGACUAGGAAAAAGACAUUAAAGGAAGAUACCUGAAAAAAUAAUGUGUUUGUUUUCCUAGUCAAUUGACUAUUUAGAUUGAUAAAUGAUGGUAACUCUGUUGACCAGUUUGACUUUUUCAAAACAGUAAGCUUUAUACCUUUUCAUUUGCAAAUGAAAAGAUCAAACUUGAAAGUCAAUCCAAUUGAAUAAAUCAUUCACCUUUUACAUUUUAGUUAA